CCGCAGACCGCCCGGAACAUUUUGGACCCUCCAACCGGGAUGUCUAGUUCAGUGUGGCCGAGUUUGUUUUCUAAGCACUGCCGUGUCUACGCGGUUGGCUCAGGAACCCGGCGUUCGGACCGGCAGAGGAGGGGAGAAUUCUAACAAUUCCUUACAGCAGUAAACAAGCAACUUACAAAACAGAGCUGGUGGGGGAAACCGCGCUGCUUUGUUAUCGCUCCAAAGAAGCUGAAAGGGACAAGCCGCUUGCUCCUGGACGAUUAUUUUAAUUAAAAUACGAUGAUGAUAAUGAUGUAGAUGAUGACAUUAGCAACUACAAUAACUGGCAAAACAAAAUCCUUUCUUCUGGAGCUAGGGCGGCACUGACGGUCUCUCCAUGAAGCCCGGCCCCAGCCACCAAUGCGACGGGUACCCGACCCACGCGGGAAUGUCGCUCACCCGGGGAAGGGGUGGAAAACUGUUUCUUGGAGAUGAUCCCGAGGGUCCCCACCCGAGGCGCGAGGCCUGGAGAAUGCGCCCAUUGUCUUUUCCGGGCCUCGCCCACAGACCCCAAGGCCGCACCGCGAAACUGACCAGAAAUGGACGAAGCCUGAGUGCGUCGGGAACGAAGCCGGUGGCUACCGGCUUGAAGGCGCGGGCCUCGGCGGGCGCUGCUCAGCUUCAAGCCUGAAGAACCUCCCACUCACUGACAAACCCCUCAAACACCGAGGCACAGACUGGCCUCCGGACAGAGCGGCCGCCGACCGGGCUCCGUCUGCCCCUCCAAGCCGACACUGGCUUCCGAAUAUAUCAUAAUAUGGAAUAAAACGUGAAAUCCUUCUCCCCGCC
rnacentral:lncRNA from 1 species